rnacentral:pre_miRNA from 1 species
AUAACAACGUUCGGACCGUCGGUCUACCGAGCAAUGUCACCGCUCGGUGGAAGAUCUUCCCUUUCGUCGUAUAUA